AUUGAACGCUGGCGGCAGGCCUAACACAUGCAAGUCGAACGGUAACACGAAACAGCUUGCUGUUUCGCUGACGAGUGGCGGAGGGGUGAGUAAUGUCUGGGAAACUGCCUGAUGGAGGGGGAUAACUACUGGAAACGGUAGCUAAUACCGCAUAUCGUCGCAACAGCAAAGAGCAGGACCUUCGGGCCUCUUGCCAUCGGCUGUGCCCAGAUCGGGGUAGCUAGUAGGUGGGGUAAAGGCUCACCAAGGCGACGAUCCCUAGCUGGUCUGAGAGGAUGACCAGCCACACUGGAACUGAGACACGGUCCAGACUCCUACGGGAGGCAGCAGUGGGGAAUAUUGCACAAUGGGCGAAAGCCUGAUGCAGCCAUGCCGCGUGUGUGAAGAAGGCCUUCGGGUUGUAAAGUACUUUCAGCGGGGAGGAAGGGAGUAAAGUUAAUACCUUUGCUCAUUGACGGUACCCGAAGAAGAAGCACCGGCUAACUCCGUG
rnacentral:rRNA from 1 species